UUUUAAGGGAUGAUCUGACUGGAGAACUGAUGCCAAGUGUGUGCCCCAGCUGCACCUUAUACUUCCAAAUCCUCUUUUGUCGAGCAGUUCCAGAGGCAUGAAACUAUGAAGAGGCUUGUAAUGCAUUGAG
rnacentral:lncRNA from 12 species